rnacentral:lncRNA from 1 species
CCGCUCCUCCACCUUCCGCUUUCGCUUAAACCUCACCGAUCAGCCCGGACAGUUCACCCUCGUCUUCGCCAACUGCCUCCCCCCGCUCCGCGUCUCCAUGUCCGUCCGCUCCGCCAUGUUCAACCUUCCCGACCCCUCCCAUCGCGCCUACCUCUCCGCCGGCGCGGCCGUCCUGCCUCUUGUCUACUUCAUCCUCUUCCUCACCUACUCCGCCCUCGCCGCCGCCUGGGCCGCCGUCCUUCUCCGCAGGCGCCGCGCCGCCUUCCGCAUCCACUACUUCAUGCUCGCCGUCGUCGUCCUCAAGGCGUUCAACCUCCUCUGCGAGGCCGAGGACAAGUCCUACAUCGAACGC